rnacentral:rRNA from 1 species
AACGAACGCUGGCGGCAUGCCUAACACAUGCAAGUCGAACGAGACUUUCGGGUCUAGUGGCGCACGGGUGCGUAACGCGUGGGAACCUGCCCUUAGGUUCGGGAUAACUCCCGGAAAGGGGUGCUAAUACCGGAUAAUGUCUGCGGACCAAAGAUUUAUCGCCGUUGGAUGGGCCCGCGUUGGAUUAGCUAGUUGGUAGGGUAAAAGCCUACCAAGGCGACGAUCCAUAGCUGGUCUGAGAGGAUGAUCAGCCACACUGGGACUGAGACACGGCCCAGACUCCUACGGGAGGCAGCAGUGGGGAAUAUUGGACAAUGGGCGAAAGCCUGAUCCAGCAAUGCCGCGUGAGUGAUGAAGGCCUUAGGGUUGUAAAGCUCUUUUACCCGGGAUGAUAAUGACAGUACCGGGAGAAUAAGCUCCGGCUAACUCCGUG